rnacentral:tRNA from 1 species
UGCAUAGUGGUAUAGUGGUUAGCACUCUUGCCUUACAGCAAGAAGGCCCUGGUUUGAAUCCUGGCUGGGUUC